rnacentral:rRNA from 1 species
UACGUAGGGUGCGAGCGUUAAUCGGAAUUACUGGGCGUAAAGCGUGCGCAGGCGGUUGUGUAAGACAGAUGUGAAAUCCCCGGGCUCAACCUGGGAACUGCAUUUGUGACUGCAUCGCUGGAGUGCGGCAGAGGGGGAUGGAAUUCCGCGUGUAGCAGUGAAAUGCGUAGAUAUGCGGAGGAACACCGAUGGCGAAGGCAAUCCCCUGGGCCUGCACUGACGCUCAUGCACGAAAGCGUGGGGAGCAAACAGG